GAUGAAGAACGCAGUGAAAUGCGAUAAGUAAUGUGAAUUGCAGAAUUCAGUGAAUCAUCGAAUCUUUGAACGCACAUUGCGCCCGCCAGUAUUCUGGCGGGCAUGCCUGUUCGAGCGUCAUUUCAACCAUCAAGCCCAAGGCUUGUGUUGGGGACCUGCGGCUGCCGCAGGCCCUGAAAACCAGUGGCGGGCUCGCUGUCACACCGGGCGUAGUAGAUUUUAUCUCGCUCAGGGCGUGCUGCGGGUUCCGGCCGUUAAAAAGCCUUUUUUACCCAAGGUUGACCUCGGAUCAGGUAGGAAUACCCGCUGAACUUAAGCAUAUCAAUAAGCGGAGGA
rnacentral:misc_RNA from 1 species